rnacentral:lncRNA from 1 species
GUUUUGCCAAAUUUUACAUUAGUAUAAAACCUCUUUAUAUAAAUCCUUAUUUAACAGGAAUCCUUAUGUCAUUUGUCAUGAUGGUAAAACUUAUGCUAUCCUGUGUAACACUUCUGUUGAAUAAAUGUUCUAUGAUUUGGCAGUGGUUGCAUUCACACCAAGUUUACUGGAGUUUUUAUAAGUAAUUUUAUAUUUCAUGAAUAUUAAUACAAUCUCUCAUAAAGCUCGCCUCUCAAUAUUUAAACAACACUAAAGUCAAGUUUCCUUAUCUACGUCUAUUUUUGACUUUAUAACGACUACAACAAUUUCAUUGUUUGAUAUUACUUGUGACACAUAAGCAGAAGCCAUUUAAAAAAAAGAAGCUCGACAAAAAAUACAAUAUCUUUCUAGCAAGUUCAAUUAAAAAAAAAAAACAUCUUUUAAAUGGCUCUGCCAAUAAUCUGCUAUUACUUCUAAUUGUGUAUUUAAUAAAAAAAAAAAAGUAACAUGAUUUUGUUGAAUACACACACUUUGUCUUUCAAGACUCUCCUCUUUAUCAAUUAAAGCAUCAGUGGAUGGAUAAAACCACGUCUGUUAGGAGUAGCAACUUAAAACCUUGCGUCAAAAAAACUUAAAAUAUCAUAUACACACAAUCUUUUUACAAUUAAUAUUCUGCUGUAAACUGUAGGAGAUUUUUCAAAAUGUGUUGCCAAAGUUUUUUUCAAAAUAACAUUCAUUUACUUAAAAUUAUAAAUGACUGCUACACUAGGCAUAGAAAAAAAUUAGCAGCUUUCAUUUCUUAUAGUUAUGACUAUUGAUUAACAAAAUUCACACAAAUAUUAAAAUAGAAAACAUUGGAAAUCCAUGUUUUUAAUUUUUUUGUAUUUAUAG